rnacentral:rRNA from 1 species
CCUACGGGAGGCAGCAGUGGGGAAUAUUGCGCAAUGGGCGAAAGCCUGGCGCAGCGACGCCGCGUGAGUGAUGAAGGUCUUCGGAUCGUAAAACUCUGUCAUCAGGGAAGAACGAUCACUGUGCUAAUCAGUAGUGAAUUGACGGUACCUGCCCAGGUAGCACCGGCUAACUACGUGCCAGCAGCCGCGGUAAUACGGAGGGGGCGAGCGUUAAUCGGAAUUACUGGGCGUAAAGCGCUCGUAGGCGGUAUGUCAAGUCAGUGGUGAAAUCCCCGGGCUCAACGUGGGAACUGCUUGUGAAACUGGCGGACUUGAGUGCAGGAGAGGAGAGUGGAAUUCCAGGUGUAGGGGUGAAAUGCGUAGAUAUGAGGAGGAACACCAGUGGCGAAGGCGAUUUUCUAGAAUGUAACUGACGCUGAGGCACGAAAGCGUGGGGAGCAAACAGGAUUAGAUACCCGUGUAGUC